UGCAUCUACUGCAAUCCCUCUGCACUACCAGAUCUUAUUAUUCUCUCCAUGCUUAGAGAUGCGUUUGGCGGCUACUCAAGCCUACGCUUACUGAACUGACCAAUCAUGAGUAGGAAUAGUUUCAGAGAAUCUCUAGUCGGAGCCAGGAAUGUUCCGGCGGGAUCGCUUUCUCAGCACCACCGUCGAGGUCAUAGUUUUACCGCUUUUUCCAGAGACACCGACGAGAACUUGGAUCUCUUCUCUAAGAACCGUCGUAGUCUAUCUGUUGCCUCUUCUGACGAAUCUUCCGAUGUCUCAGUGAAACUAGGGAGACUUCCUGUUGGACCAG
rnacentral:misc_RNA from 1 species